UCCUUUUUACAGGUACAGGUGAACAAAGGCAGAGUAAACUGUCACCCCAGAUGCAGGUACAUCAAGACAAAACCCUGCCACCAGCUCAGUCAUCAAGUGUGGGUCCAGCAGAAGCCCAGCCACAGACUGCUCAGCCUUCAGCUCAGCCCCAGCCCCAAACCCAGCCCCAGUCCCCAGCUCAGCCUGAAGUUCAGACUCAGCCUGAAGUUCAGACCCAAACAACUGUUUCAUCCCAUGUCCCUUCUGAAGCACAACCCACCCACGCACAGUCAUCCAAGCCCCAAGUUGCAGCACAGUCUCAGCCUCAAAGUAAUGUCCAAGGACAGUCUCCUGUUCGUGUCCAAAGUCCAUCACAGACUCGAAUACGUCCAUCAACUCCAUCCCAACUGUCUCCUGGACAACAAUCCCAGGUUCAGACUACAACCUCACAACCGAUUCCAAUUCAACCACAUACAUCUCUUCAGAUACCUUCCCAAGGCCAGCCACAGUCACAACCCCAGGUGGUGAUGAAGCAUAAUGCUGUAAUAGAACAUUUAAAACAGAAAAAGAGCAUGACUCCAGCUGAAAGAGAAGAGAAUCAAAGAAUGAUUGUCUGUAACCAGGUGAUGAAGUAUAUUUUGGAUAAGAUAGAUAAAGAAGAAAAACAGGCAGCAAAAAAACGGAAGCGUGAAGAGAGUGUGGAGCAGAAACGUAGCAAGCAGAAUGCCACUAAGCUGUCAGCUCUGCUCUUCAAGCACAAAGAGCAGCUCAGAGCCGAGAUCCUGAAGAAGAGAGCACUCCUGGACAAGGAUCUGCAAAUUGAAGUGCAG
rnacentral:lncRNA from 1 species